UACGUAGGGUGCGAGCGUUAAUCGGAAUUACUGGGCGUAAAGUGUGCGCAGGCGGUCUCGCAAGUCAAGUGUGAAAGCCCCGGGCUCAACCUGGGAAUUGCGAUGGAGACUGCAAGGCUAGAAUCUGGCAGAGGGGGGUAGAAUUCCACGUGUAGCAGUGAAAUGCGUAGAGAUGUGGAGGAACACCGAUGGCGAAGGCAGCCCCCUGGGUCAAGAUUGACGCUCAUGCACGAAAGCGUGGGGGAGCAAACAGG
rnacentral:rRNA from 1 species